AGCAUGAACACAACCUUGCCUCGGAAAGCAUACGUGGGAAAAUAUGCCAGGGGGGUAGCUCCCCAAUUCUCCUGCCCAAAGAUGUUUGCCAUAGACUACGCUGACUGGCCCAUUCAGGAGCCCCUCGGGUUUCCGCUGGACCUACCCUUCUGAUUUGAGAUCAUCCACGUGUUUUCCCACCUCCGGAGGCUUUUAUUUUCUGCUUCCUCCCUUCUUAGUACAGUGCCAAUCACUGCUCUCCCCCGCCGCCCCCCUCCCCAAAGGCUCUCUGAGGCUGCUCCCUUUGUGAUUGGCAUCUCAUUAAUGAAGAAGGGCUGGUGUCUCUCAUUACAGUUAGAGUGAGUGAGAGGACCUCAGAACUAAUUUACUUGCUCUCACUAGGGAAGACACUUGCCUCCAUCAAGAACUUCACUUUCCUGCUGCCUGUGGCAAUAAAAGAACCCGUUUUGUUUUAACAUUAAUAAGGAAAUUCCACUCAUUGAUAAAGCUCGGCUUCGACGCCCCUGCUCACAAUGAAAUACCUUCCUUGCCAACCACAUUGCUUUAUGAUCGUGCCCCUUUACCACAUUGUACUUGAAAUGCCUUGUCAUUUAAGAAACCAUAAAAACGACGUCUUUAAAAAUGGGUUCAUCAUUUAGCUGGAGAUGGCUUCUGUGCCUGGAACCAGAAGCCUGUCCUCUCGGUGGUAUGCCUCCACAAAAGGAAGCGAGCUACCACAAAGGACAGCAUCAUGUGUUGCCUUCAUUGCUAUUGAAUCGG
rnacentral:lncRNA from 1 species